rnacentral:lncRNA from 1 species
AUGGCUUUCGGCUGCAACACUUUAAUAGUACACUGAAAUCCAGCUGUUCCUGCUCUCCAGUCCACUUGGCUGCAGCCCUGACUGGCACAGCAGCGUGAAUGGUUUUGUCUCUCACUGGGGACAUGCAAAACACGGUCAUCCAAGGAGCUCCUUGAAAUUAAAGUACUGUUUUUCUGGGCUGUUUGUGUUGUUGCUCUGCUGGGUCCUAGCAGAAAUUUGCACCUUGCAGCUCACUGGUGGUGGAGACAUCAGACACACAGACAAGGAUGAUUUCUGCAGUGAAAUGCCAGCACAGGCUGUCAGUAUGCAGGAAGACUCAACUGAGGAAGGACUUCCAGCAGCAGAGGAACACUGUAACUGUUCACAGAGGAACACUUCAGCCACCCAGGGCAAGGUCUCAGCUUGUUGCCUUCCUGGUCAUCCUCACACACAGACAAUGCAGAAGAGCCACAUUUUCAAAGGUGACCAGAAAUUUCCAUCACUUGGCCAGUGACAUCCCAAAAGGAGAUUGCUUAACUUGGAGCAUGAGAGAAGCCUACAGGAGCCCAGGGCAUCACACAGGAGUUCCAUGCAAAGCCCAAGGUGUGGCUCCAUGGCUCUUUGGUCCCUGCCCCAUUGGCAGUGCAGGAGUGGGAUGAGCCGCUGAGCCACUGAACCAGACUGGCAGAAAACCACCACCCAUCACUUGCAGGUACGUUCCUUGGUGCUGGGAGGGCUGAAGGUGCACACCAUGGGCCCAGGCACACACUGGUGCUGGCCUGUGGAGCAAAUGGAAGCCAGGGGGUGGAGGGGGAAGCAGGACAGAGGCAGCCCUGGCUCAGACUGAUGGAAGUUUCACGCAGUGGAAAGCAAAAUGCGUGAGGCUGGAGCUGUAUCCCCACCUACAUAAUGGAUUGCCCUGGGCACUGCACUAAAUACAUUAAGCAAUGAUGAAUAUUCAUAUUUUAAGAUUAAAUCUACCUCCUAAUGGAACUUUUCACUGGCAACCUUUUCUUAUUGUGCCUUGGAACUCCAUGUAUCUGAACAACUGCUGUUGGGUGAAAACACCUUCCCAAGUCAAAAUAACAAUAUCAA